rnacentral:rRNA from 1 species
AACGAACGCUGGCGGCAGGCUUAACACAUGCAAGUCGAGCGCCCCGCCAGGGGAGCGGCCGACGGGUGAGUAACGCGUGGGAACGUACCUUUUGGUUCGGAACAACUCCGGGAAACUGGAGCUAAUACCGGAUAAGCCCUAACGGGGAAAGAUUUAUCGCCGAAAGAUCGGCCCGCGUCUGAUUAGCUAGUUGGUGAGGUAACGGCUCACCAAGGCGACGAUCAGUAGCUGGUCUGAGAGGAUGAUCAGCCACACUGGGACUGAGACACGGCCCAGACUCCUACGGGAGGCAGCAGUGGGGAAUAUUGGACAAUGGGCGCAAGCCUGAUCCAGCCAUGCCGCGUGAGUGAUGAAGGCCUUAGGGUUGCAAAGCUCUUUUGUCCGGGAAGAUAAUGACUGUACCGGAAGAAUAAGCCCCGGCUAACUUCGUG